rnacentral:lncRNA from 1 species
CCUACUCUUAGCUCAGUUAUCGUGCUUAAUCCACCUCCAGACCUGGGUUUCCCGAGGAGCUAACCUAAUCCAAUGUAUAUACUUUACUCUUCUGAUCACCAGUGAUUGGUUCAGAGAUUGAGAUGAACUUGAAAUUGCUGGGGUUCUUCCCAUGGAAUCUUAACCCAGGAGAAACAGCUAAGAAAUGGAUCCUGCUUAUAUAAACUCCAAACCAAGCCAGGUCCAUAAAAACCAAAGCUGGGUUUUGAUAUGGCUUUCUAUACUCAUUUAAAUGUAGGUAUAUUACAAAAUAAAGCCAAAUGUGAAGGUUUGCCUAGGAAAACUGGAUAGUCUGCUCACUGAACUGCCUGUUAAAAUAUUCCUUUAGCCAAGCCCAUGCUAAGACAGGAUAAGAUGAUUAUUUGUACCACACACUCCAAUCUCCAGGGCAGUUUAUCAGCCUUUCAUCUCUGCAGAGACAGUAUCAAUCAGUGGUGCCUAAAAGCUGGUCUGCACACUGGGGAUGGCUGAGUAAUAACAUUCCCACUGGCCCACAGCAUUCUUAGAUAAAUUCCACUGCUAUACGAUGGUGAGCAGAACCCUGAGCCAAGUCCUAGACAUGAGAACCAACUGAGGGAUAGUGCUCUGAAGCUCCCUCCAGCCCUGGCUAGACAACUGGCUUAACCUCCCCCACCAGACAGCAAGGGGAAGCCAGAAGUAGCUAGAAGCAUGGAGGCCACUGCUCCAUGGCUUUUAG